rnacentral:misc_RNA from 1 species
UCCGGCUUAUCACCGGCAGUCCCCUUAGAGUGCCCAACUAAAUGAUGGCAACUAAGGGCGAGGGUUGCGCUCGUUGCGGGACUUAACCCAACAUCUCACGACACGAGCUGACGACAGCCAUGCAGUACCUGUCUCGGGACUCCGGAGAGGGGUCCUGGUUUCUCAGGACUUUCCCCGAGAUGUCAAGCCCAGGUAAGGUUCUUCGCGUUGCGUCGAAUUAAACCACAUGCUCCACCGCUUGUGCGGGCCCCCGUCAAUUCCUUUGAGUUUCAGCCUCGCGGCCGUACUCCCCAGGCGGGGCACUUACUGCGUUAGCGACGGCACCGGGAGGGUCGCUCCCCCCGACGCCUAGUGCCCAUCGUUUACGGCGUGGACUAC